rnacentral:rRNA from 1 species
CAGUCGCCGCGGGAAUACGGAGGAUCCGAGCGUUAUCCGGAUUUAUUGGGUUUAAAGGGUGCGUAGGCGGCCUAUUAAGUCAGGGGUGAAAGACGGUAGCUUAACUAUCGCAGUGCCUUUGAUACUGAUGGGCUUGAAUGUACUUGAAGUGGGCGGAAUGUGACAAGUAGCGGUGAAAUGCAUAGAUAUGUCACAGAACACCGAUUGCGAAGGCAGCUCACUAAAGUAUGAUUGACGCUGAGGCACGAAAGCGUGGGGAUCAAACAGGAUUAGAUACCCCGUAGUCCCUGUCUCUUAUACC